GGCGUAAUUAAAGUCGCAAGCUCCCUUGAAGUUUUUUCCUUUUAUCCUUUAUAUAGUGGAUUAUGCCUUCCCAUAAAUCUUUUAAAACAAAAAUUAUUUUGGCCAAGAAACAAAAACAGAAUAGGCCACUUCCGCACUGGAUCCGUUUAAAAACAAAAAACCGUAUCCGGUACAAUGCCAAAAGAAGGCAUUGGCGAAGGACUAAGUUGGGUAUAUGAAGCACCACUAUUGCGAGCCAUAUAUCUAUAUAAUAGC